rnacentral:snoRNA from 1 species
GAGAGAGGCUGUGUCUAUACUCAGAGUUCUGACCUGUGAACACUGGAAUGAUUAGUAGCUUAAU